rnacentral:lncRNA from 1 species
AUGAGCUCUGUCACGGCACCAAUCGAUCCUCCACCCAUGAUGGUAGAUCACCUAUACUCCUUAUACGGCAGAUUGAAUAAGGGAAAGCCACCCUCAUUGGUUAAGAACUCUUGUGAAAACCUCAUCAUACGUGAGGAGCCAACACCAGAAACUACCCCUGUAGUUGACCCUUCGUCUGUUUCCAGAUGCUAUAUAGAGAAGGGCAUGUUUUCGGCGGUCCCCUUAAUUGUUUUAUGUAUUUUUUUCAUGUGCCAUUACUAA